rnacentral:tmRNA from 1 species
GGGGGCGAUCGGUUUCGACGAGGGUACGGAGGUGGUUUGGGUGCGUGUCGCGGCUGUCAUGCUGCCGCGUUAAAAAGGUGUGGCAACCGUUAACUGCGAACAGCAUUAACCUAGGGUUCGGCGCCGCCAGCAAUGGCGACGCAGAGCUCCAAGCGAUGGCUGCCUAAACAGUAGCUUGUCGCCGCCGGCCAGUUGCUCGCCCGAGGUGGUGGGAUCCGGCGACACUUAUUGGGCUUGGCUCCGCCGCAUGCUCUGGGCGGUGGGGCGAGACUUUCAGAGCUCGUCUGCGUCUCUGCCGCCAGGGGGUGACGUCGCAGAUUAAAUCAAACCUGUGGCUACACACGUAGGACCCGCCAUCAAAGAUUCUCGGACCCGGGUUCGAUUCCCGGCGCCUCCACCA